CUACGGGUCGCACCAGUGGGGAAUAUUGCACAAUGGGCGCAAGCCUGAUGCAGCCAUGCCGCGUGUAUGAAGAAGGCCUUCGGGUUGUAAAGUACUUUCAGCGGGGAGGAAGGGAGUAAAGUUAAUACCUUUGCUCAUUGACGUUACCCGCGGAAGAAGCACCGGCUAACUCCGUGCCAGCAGCCGCGGUAAUACGGAGGGUGCAAGCGUUAAUCGGAAUUACUGGGCGUAAAGCGCACGCAGGCGGUUUGUUAAGUCAGAUGUGAAAUCCCCGGGCUCAACCUGGGAACUGCGUCUGAUACUGGCAAGCUUGAGUCUCGUAGAGGGGGGUAGAAUUCCAGGUGUAGCGGUGAUAUGCGUAGAGAUCUGGAGGAAUACCGGUGGCGAAGGCGGCCCCCUGGACGAAGACUGACGCUCAGGUGCGAAAGCGUGGGGAGCAAACAGGAUUAGAUACCCGAGUAGUC
rnacentral:rRNA from 1 species